ACAACGCUCUCCGCCGCCGGUCUUCAGCCCUGCCAGGUCUCAGUUAGGAAACGGGACACGAUCGGAUUUGCUGAAAAACUACCGGAGCAAAGGAUGCAAAUAAGUACACGCAGAAAGAUGCAAAUAAGCAUUGAGGCGCUUCUGAGGGGAAAUCCGGUAUCUCUGUAUUAGACCAACCCAGACAGCAGGGAAAAUCCCUCUUUGCGAGCUUGGCUAGAGCCAGGAGGAGGCCGACCAGGAGGUCCCAGGACUUGGUGGAGCCACAGUACUAUCCUAUGGUGACCCAGAAGCUGUGAGGACAAGCAGAUGGAAUUGGACAGUAGUUACAGUAGCUGUAUUUCAGAUUAUUCAGAUGAUACAUUUGAGUCCUUCAGUGAGGAGGAAGAAGCCUGCAAACAAUAUGAAAACGAACCAUUUGCAUCUUAUUGUACCACAGAGAACUCAGAGUGUCCUGCUGUGUCAGAUGUAUCUGAAAGCACAUGGAAGUCAACAAGUCAAAAUGAUGAAGGUGAGCUCUUAGACUCUGCAACUAUAGAAAAAGAUUUGAUGGGAAAAUGGAUCAACUGUCUCAAAAAUAAAGCAGCUGGCACUGGAGAAAGCAAACCUGUCAUGAGAACACGAACAGAAAUUCCUGAGGUACCAGCUGAAGAAUUGGAUGCUCUACAGAAUUUCUGCACCAUUAAGAUAAGCCAGAUCCAUCAUCAGUUGAUCUGUGAGCAGUCUAACAGUUGCAAACACAAAGAGUUGCAGCAUGGAUUCACUUCAGAGAAGUCAGUGACAGGUGCCUUAAACUGUAUUGUUCCUGAUCAGCUAGUGAACAGAAUCCACCUGAAAAAUAUCAGGGAGACAGUGAAACAGGUGACUGAAACAAAAGUACACCAGACUUCGCAGUGCCCUGAUUGUCAGAAGAAAAAAGCUGAACUGGCCAAGGUUACCUUUCUCAGACAAAGAAAAACACUUAUGGAGGGAUGUUUGCUUCAAGAAAAGUUGGAAGAACAGAUAUAUACCAAAGACUUGCUGACACUUAUAGGAUUAAUACACAAAAGUCUUCCGAAGCUUUCAGAUGACCCAAAGAACAUAUGGCAAAAACUGAAAGUGAAAGGGCUUGAAACUAGCAACUGAAGAAUUUUGACAUGGAGGCCACAGGACAGAACGUAGUUCAGUUCUCUAUUUUUUAUACUCCUCCUGCUCCCCUCCCAUGAGAUUUUUGUUUUGAUCUGGAGAAACAACCUGAAAACUGCAAUCAAGAAACCUUGAUUUAUUCUUCUGCUUCCCUUGUUUGUGCUUACUGGCAUUUAAAAGGAGUAAAGUAGAUCAAAGGUCUGGUUUCCUCUGAUGUCUUCUUAUUGCAUUAUCUAUACCCCUGUGAGAUAAAGGAGCAGAUUUUGAUUUCAGCAAUCUCUAUAUAAAUUUGGAAUGAAUCCACUGAGAGCAACUGCCAAG